CCUACGGGCGGCAGCAGUCGAGAAUCAUUCACAAUGGGGGAAACCCUGAUGGUGCGACGCCGCGUGGGGGAAUGAAGGUCUUCGGAUUGUAAACCCCUGUCAUGUGGGAGCAAAUUAAAAAGAUAGUACCACAAGAGGAAGAGACGGCUAACUCUGUGCCAGCAGCCGCGGUAAUACAGAGGUCUCAAGCGUUGUUCGGAAUCACUGGGCGUAAAGGGUGCGGAGGCUGUUUCGUAAGUCGUGUGUGAAAGGCGCGGGCUCAACCCGCGGACGGCACAUGAUACUGCGAGACUAGAGUAAUGGAGGGGGAACCGGAAUUCUCGGUGUAGCAGUGAAAUGCGUAGAUAUCGAGAGGAACACUCGUGGCGAAGGCGGGUUCCUGGACAUUAACUGACGCUGAGGCACGAAGGCCAGGGGAGCGAAAGGGAUUAGAUACCCCGGUAGUC
rnacentral:rRNA from 1 species